GCUCUCCACCUCAUUCUGGUUCCCAUUGCUAGGGUUUGUCGUGCUAGGGUUUAGGUCGCUCCUUCUCCACCACCUGGCCGCCCACCCUCCACCUCUCGUGCUUCCCGGACGCCGCGGCCGCCGAGACGAGGGCCAGGAGCAGGAGCCACCGAGCAGUCGUCGCCACCGCCAUAAACCAAACUAACUAAGGCAGCUAGAAUCUCUGCUUUGAGUUCUUCCCCGUCACCGCACGGGCUGCGAUCUCUGCUUUUUUUGGUUCCCCAAUCCCAUUCCGUGUCCUCAUGCUGCCAUUUUGGGGUUCAAGGAAAUCAAAAUGCCAUAGUUUCACGGGAUAGACGGAUCAGCUUGGUCUGGGGAUGUCGUCAGCGUGGAUGGACGGUCAAUUUCUUCGUCCGUCGCCCAACCGGCAGCAACACAUACGCGAUGAUUUGAUUGGUUCCUUGUGUCCUAAAUGAAGGCAGGUCAGGAGAGGCUAGAGUUCCAAAUCGUAGUUCGUGUGAACCAGUGUGAACCAGUUGAAUCUCAUCAAUCUUAUCAAGUCAUCUAAUAAAAAAAGGUUCGACGCGUCUUAGAGUUCUACGAUGCAUCCAAGAAUUCAGAGAACGUUGACAAAUAUAUAGAUCAGCUGACCAACAAUGAAUUGUCAUCACCACCCAAAAAGAUGAAGCACACCCAGGUUAACAAAGCCAUUCCAGAUUCUACAUGUUCCAAGAAUGACAACAGUUAGACCAUCCUGAAAUACAUCAAGGUUGGGCGGCUUCCGAAGUCAUUCAGACCUGCGUCCGAGCCUACAUCAUCAUUUGGUUUGAAUCGCGGAACGAUGUCGUUCGUCACUGCGUUGUUCUAAUAACAAACUAACAUGUGAGAUCAGCUCACUCCGCAAUAAAGUGCAGGACCGCUCCAUCCGGAGCCAGACCACGAUGGAUGAGCCAAACCAUCAGACCAAACACGCUAUUAGUACCUGCUUGUCGUGAUCAGAGGGAAAGAUAAAAUAAACAUAUUGUAUGUUAUUGUUUCUCUCUUUUCAAAAAAUGUUAUUUGUU
rnacentral:lncRNA from 7 species